UGGUGAAGUGGUUAAAACACUUGGCUACUAACCGAGAGGUCGGUGGUUCGAACCCACC
rnacentral:tRNA from 1 species